rnacentral:rRNA from 1 species
CCUACGGGAGGCUGCAGUGAGGAAUAUUGGUCAAUGGACGCGAGUCUGAACCAGCCAAGUAGCGUGAAGGAUGACUGCCCUAUGGGUUGUAAACUUCUUUUAUAUAGGAAUAAACUGUUCCACGUGUGGGAUUUUGUAUGUACCAUAUGAAUAAGGAUCGGCUAACUCCGUGCCAGCAGCCGCGGUAAUACGGAGGAUCCGAGCGUUAUCCGGAUUUAUUGGGUUUAAAGGGAGCGUAGGUGGAUUGUUAAGUCAGUUGUGAAAGUUUGCGGCUCAACCGUAAAAUUGCAGUUGAAACUGGCAGGCUUGAGUACAGUAGAGGUGGGCGGAAUUCGUGGUGUAGCGGUGAAAUGCUUAGAUAUCACGAAGAACUCCGAUUGCGAAGGCAGCUCACUGGACUGCAACUGACACUGAGGCUCGAAAGUGUGGGUAUCAAACAGGAUUAGAUACCCGUGUAGUC